GUCCCCUUCCACAGGCACUGGCCUGGUGGCUUCACAAAAAGCCAUAAUUAUCAGCCUUGCAGUUCCAAAUGGUUGUUCCUCCUGCACACCAGCUAUUUUGGCCCUCCUGAACUUGUUUGGGAGUUACUUAGAGCCAGUUGCUCUAUCUUGUUACGCUGUGGGAAGCUGAGAGACAGAGUUUCUUCAAGCUCUGAGCUGGAUAAGUCACUAAGGUGACUUUCAAUUGCAGCCUGGGAAAAAUCAACCACACCAAGUACAGUGCACAGACUCUACAGCAAAAGAGGAGCAAGCUGCUGUGCAUGGGCAGACAGCAAGAGGCCUCAUGUUGGCUGUGAUUCAACCAGUCUCUGUGCUCUCUGAAGAGGCAAAACACCUCUCUGGAAUGGCAUGGUUGUGGUAGGAUUGAGGGCAGGGCCGUGAUCCCUUGACCACGUCUCCCUCCAGCCUUACUUGCUUGUGGACAUGGAAUGGUGACGAAUGCAGGGGAUGCUCCCUGUCCCCCCGUGGAGAUCAGAUUAACACAAAUG